CCUACGGGAGACAGCAGUGAGGAAUAUUGGUCAAUGGACGAGAGUCUGAACCAGCCAAGUAGCGUGAAGGAUGACUGCCCUAUGGGUUGUAAACUUCUUUUAUAUGGGAAUAAAAUGUUCCACGUGUGGGCUUUUGUAUGUACCAUAUGAAUAAGGAUCGGCUAACUCCGGGCCAGCAGCCGCGGUAAUACGGAGGAUCCGAGCGUUAUCCGGAUUUAUUGGGUUUAAAGGGAGCGUAGGUGGAUUGUUAAGUCAGUUGUGAAAGUUUGCGGCUCAACCGUAAAAUUGCAGUUGAAACUGGCAGUCUUGAGUACAGUAGAGGUGAGCGGAAUUCGUGGUGUAGCGGUGAAAUGCUUAGAUAUCACGAAGAACUCCGAUUGCGAAGGCAGCUCACUGGACUGCAACUGACACUGAGGCUCGAAAGUGUGGGUAUCAAACAGGAUUAGAUACCCGGGUAGUC
rnacentral:rRNA from 1 species